rnacentral:rRNA from 1 species
UAGGGAAUCUUCCACAAUGGACGCAAGUCUGAUGGAGCAACGCCGCGUGAGUGAAGAAGGUUUUCGGACCGUAAAGCUCUGUUGUUGGUGAAGAAGGAUAGAGGUAGUAACUGGCCUUUAUUUGACGGUAAUCAACCAGAAAGUCACGGCUAACUACGUGCCAGCAGCCGCGGUAAUCGUAGGUGGCAAGCGUUGUCCGGAUUUAUUGGGCGUAAAGCGAGCGCAGGCGGAAGAAUAAGUCUGAUGUGAAAGCCCUCGGCUUAACCGAGGAAUUGCAUCGGAAACUGUUUUCUUGAGUGCAGAAGAGGAGAGUAGAACUCCAUGUGUAGCGGUGGAAUGCGUAGAUAUAUGGAAGAAUACCAGUGGCGAAGGCGGCUCUCUGGUCUGCAACUGACGCUGAGGCUCGAAAGCAUGGGUAGCGAACAGGAUUAGAUACCCUGGUAGUCCAUGCCGUAAACGAUGAGUGCU